AUGUAUGAGAGUUGGAUACUCCCAAAAUUCCAACAAGAUUACACACACAAAGAAAUGUCAUCUGGUAAAUAUUACAUUCUGUUUUUGUUUUUGUUUUAUAAGCUGGAACAGGAGGAGGGGUUGGGGGAUUUAAAAACAGCAAAGCAACAACAAGGAACUGAUCUUCCAGCAGAUUACAUAUCAUCAGUCUUUCUUGUUUUAUGUAGUUAUAAAAUAAAGUCUUAAAAAGUUUGUGCCACCAUAUUUUUUCUACAUGUAUGUAUGUGAUAGAGGUUGGAUCUCCCAGAAGUCUCAAAUUGUAGUCUUGCUUCCUCAUCUUUGAUGGAUUUCUCUGUUGGUUUAUAGAUAAUGUGUACUGAAGCAUUGCCAGUUGAAAAUAACACCUGUAUCUGGUAGAGACGUCUCUCAUAUAUAUCCCCCAUCUUCCCAAGACAGCAGGAACAGAAAUUAUCUUUUUGAGUUAAUACAACCAGAGACAAAGACUUCAGUGUUUUGGCUUAGUGAUAUCUUGUAAGAGGACCAUGAAAAUGAGAAGCUUUAGCUCUUUGUGUUUUAAUCCUGAAGUUUUCAACAAAGAAUAUGUCUAACUUCCACUUACUCCCUUUCCUCACAAUCUUUGUCCACAAAAUUUAUUAUCUAUGAACUUUAUCUAAGUUUUGGCUAUAUUUUAUCAUAAGAUACACUGAAAUCUGCAACAUCCAAAUUUACACUUCUUCUCCUUGCAAGAGGAUCAUCCCACCGCCAUCAUCAUCAACAUCAUCACCAUCAUCAUUAUCAUUGUCUGAGUUCUUACUACAUGCCAGGCACUGAACCUAAUAAUUUAUACACAUCGUUUAAUACUCAUGUAUUUUCAUGAAAGAUCUUACUGUUGCUUCACUUGCAGAUGAAGAAAUGAAGGACUCCUAGAAGGUUAAAUAACUUGUUCAAUGUCACAUAGCAUAUCAAAAGCAGAGUUAAACACAGUACAGGUUUGGUCAAGAGCUCAUGCUCUUAAACAAUAAGAAUUUGAAGUUUGAUCCAUCAUAGCACCUCAAAGGAAGAGGGGACUUAAUAAUUCACCUGUUCCUGAGGGUGAUAACCUAAGUGGAAUAUUAAUCUCCCAAGGGAGACUUUUAAAAAGUUAGUGCUCUAGUAUCAAGUGACUAAGACUCUGAGGCAGGGGGCAUGGCUAUCAACAUCUUAUAAAAGAUGCUCACGUAGUGCAGGGCUAUGGGAGAGAGCUGGGGAAAGGGAAAGAACUUCCUUUCUCUCUCAUUUGUCCUUCCAUUUACUUUUUCUCCUUGUUCUCUCUUGAUUCAAUCUUCUCCUUUCCCUAACCAAACUUUUGUUUCUUGCUCUCCAUUGCAUCGUGGAAGUGACAAAAAAGCCCCAGCCAGUAAACACAGGGCUCUCCUUAAACAGCAAUGAGAGAGAUCACAAAGUGCAGAGAAUGCUCUUUCUUUCUUUUUUUUUUCUUUUUUUUUUUUUUGACAGGCAGAGUGGACAGUGAGAGAGAGAGACAGAGAGGAAGGUCUUCCUUUUGCCGUUGAUUCACCCUCCAAUGGCCGCCGCAGCCGGUGCCCUGCGGCCAGCGCACCGCGCUGAUCCGAUGGCAGGAGCCAGGUACUUAUCCUGGUCUCCCAUGGGGUGCAGGGCCCAAGCACUUGGGCCAUCCUCCGCUGCACUCCCGGGCCAUAGCAGAGAGCUGGCCUGGAAGAGGGGCAACCGGGACAGAAUCCGGCGCCCCGACCGGGACUAGAACCCGGUGUGCCGGCACCGCAAGGUGGAGGAUUAGCCUAGUGAGCCAUGUCACCGGCUGAGAAUGCUCUUUCACAACGGGGGAAGGAAGAGGGCUCUUGGUGUAUAGUGCUUUGUUCUGUCACACCAAAGUGGAAAGAAGUCCAAUGUAAGGUCAAAUACAACAGGGGGCCAGCGCUGUGGUGUAGUGGGUAAGACCACUGCCUGCAGUGCUGGCAUCCCAUAUGGGCACCGGUUCGAGUCCUGGCUAUUCCACUUCCAUUCCAGCUCUCUGCUAUGGGCUGUAAAAGCAGUAGAAGAUGGCCCAAGUCCUUGGGCCCCUGCACCCAUGUGGGAGACCUGGAAGAAGCUCCUGAAUCCUGGCUUUGGAUUGGUGCAGCUCCAGCUGUUGUGGCCAGCUGGGGAGUGAACAAGCAGAUGGAAGACCUCUCUCACUCUCUGCCUCUCCUUCUCUCUACAUAUCUCUGAUUUUCAAAUAAAUAAAUAAAUAAAUCUUUAACA
ensembl:lncRNA